rnacentral:rRNA from 1 species
GUUGACCUCGAAUCAGGUAGGAAUACCCGCUGAACUUAAGCAUAUCAAUAAGCGGAGGAAAAGAAACCAACCGGGAUUACCUCAGUAACGGCGAGUGAAGCGGUAACAGCUCAAAUUUGAAAUCUGGCUCCUUCGGAGUCCGAGUUGUAAUUUGUAGAAGAUGCUUUGGGUUGUGGGCUCGGCCUAAGUUCCUUGGAACAGGACGUCAUAGAGGGUGAGAAUCCCGUAUGUGGCCAUGGCCCGCGCCUAUGUAAAGCUCUUUCGACGAGUCGAGUUGUUUGGGAAUGCAGCUCAAAAUGGGUGGUAAAUUUCAUCUAAAGCUAAAUAUGGGCCAGAGACCGAUAGCGCACAAGUAGAGUGAUCGAAAGAUGAAAAGCACUUUGGAAAGAGAGUUAAACAGUACGUGAAAUUGUUGAAAGGGAAGCGCUUGCAACCAGACUUGGGCGCUGCCGAUCACCCCGAGUUCUCUCGGGUGCACUCGACAGCGCACAGGCCAGCAUCGGUUCGGGUGGCUGGAUAAAGGCCGUAGGAAUGUAGCUCUCUUCGGGGAGUGUUAUAGCCCACGGUGCCAUGCAGCCCAGCCGGACCGAGGACCGCGCCUUCGGGCUAGGAUGCUGGCGUAAUGGUUGUAAGCGACCCGUCUUGAAACACGGACCAAGGAGUCUAACAUCUAUGCGAGUGUUUGGGCGUUAAACCCA